rnacentral:rRNA from 1 species
UACGAAGGGUGCAAGCGUUACUCGGAAUUACUGGGCGUAAAGCGUGCGUAGGCGGUUUGUUAAGUCUGUUGUGAAAGCCCCGGGCUCAACCUGGGAAUGGCAAUGGAAACUGGCGAGCUAGAGUACGGUAGAGGAGAGUGGAAUUCCCGGUGUAGCGGUGAAAUGCGCAGAUAUCGGGAGGAACACCGAUGGCGAAGGCAGCUCGCUGGGACGGUACUGACGCUGAGGCGCGAAAGCGUGGGGAGCAAACAGG